AGCAGCCGCGGUAAUUCCAGCUCCAAUAGCGUGUAUUAAAGUUGUUGCAGUUAAAAAGCUCGUAGUUGAAUUUCGGAAUCAAUAUGUUGGUCGUGCCUUGGUACGUACUAAUUUAUUGGUUUCUUCCUUCUGACGAACCAUGAUGUCAUUAAUUUGGUGUCUUGGGGAAUCAGGACUGUUACUUUGAAAAAAUUAGAGUGUUUAAAGCAGGCUCACGCUUGAAUACAUUAGCAUGGAAUAAUGAAAUAGGACGUUUGAUUCUAUUUUGUUGGUUUCUAGGAUCGACGUAAUGAUUAAUAGGGAUAGUUGGGGGCAUUAGUAUUCAAUUGUCAGAGGUGAAAUUCUUGGAUUUAUUGAAGACUAACUACUGCGAAAGCAUUUGCCAAGGAUGUUUUCAUUAAUCAAGAACGAAAGUUAGGGGAUCGAAGACGAUCAGAUACCGUCGUAGUC
rnacentral:rRNA from 1 species